rnacentral:rRNA from 1 species
AGAGUUUGAUCCUGGCUCAGGAUGAACGCUAGCGGCAGGCUUAACACAUGCAAGUCGAGGGGCAGCGGGGAGGAAGCUUGCUUUCUCCGCCGGCGACCGGCGCACGGGUGAGUAACACGUAUCCAACCUGCCUUAUACUCCCGGACAGCCUUCUGAAAGGAAGAUUAAUACGGGAUGGUAUCACGGGCCAGCAUUUUCUCGUGAUUAAAGAAUUUCGGUAUAAGAUGGGGAUGCGUUCCAUUAGAUAGUAGGCGGGGUAACGGCCCACCUAGUCGACGAUGGAUAGGGGUUCUGAGAGGAAGGUCCCCCACAUUGGAACUGAGACACGGUCCAAACUCCUACGGGAGGCAGCUGUGAGGAAUAUUGGUCAAUGGGCGCGAGCCUGAACCAGCCAAGUAGCGUGAGGGAAGACUGCCCUAUGGGUUGUAAACCUCUUUUAUGCGGGGAUAAAGGUGUCCACGUGUGGAUGUUUGCAGGUACCGCAUGAAUAAGGACCGGCUAAUUCCGUGCCAGCAGCCGCGGUAAUACGGAAGGUCCGGGCGUUAUCCGGAUUUAUUGGGUUUAAAGGGAGCGUAGGCCGGUCUUUAAGCGUGCCGUGAAAUUUUGUGGCUCAACCAUGAGAGUGCGGCGCGAACUGGAGACCUUGAGUGCGCGGAAGGCAGGCGGAAUUCGUGGUGUAGCGGUGAAAUGCUUAGAUAUCACGAAGAACCCCGAUUGCGAAGGCAGCCUGCCGCAGCGUUACUGACGCUGAAGCUCGAAAGCGCGGGUAUCGAACAGGAUUAGAUACCCUGGUAGUCCGCGCGGUAAACGAUGGAUGCCCGCUGUCGGCGAUAUACAGUCGGCGGCCAAGCGAAAGCGUUAAGCAUCCCACCUGGGGAGUACGCCGGCAACGGUGAAACUCAAAGGAAUUGACGGGGGCCCGCACAAGCGGAGGAACAUGCGGUUUAAUUCGAUGAUACGCGAGGAACCUUACCCGGGCUUGAAUUGCAGAGGAAAGAUCCAGAGAUGGUGAUGCCCUUCGGGGCCUCUGCGAAGGUGCUGCAUGGUUGUCGUCAGCUCGUGCCGUGAGGUGUCGGCUUAAGUGCCAUAACGAGCGCAACCCCUUUCCCUAGUUGCCAUCGGUUCUAGCCGGGCACUCUGGGGACACUGCCUCCGCAAGGAGUGAGGAAGGUGGGGAUGACGUCAAAUCAGCACGGCCCUUACGUCCGGGGCUACACACGUGUUACAAUGGGUGAUACAGAGGGCCGGCCGCUGGCAUCAUCGGUCCAAUCCUUAAAGUCAUCCUCAGUUCGGACUGGGGUCUGCAACCCGACCCCACGAAGCUGGAUUCGCUAGUAAUCGCGCAUCAGCCAUGGCGCGGUGAAUACGUUCCCGGGCCUUGCACUCACCGCCCGUCA